rnacentral:rRNA from 1 species
ACUCCUACGGGAGGCAGCAGUGGGGAAUAUUGCACAAUGGGGGAAACCCUGAUGCGGCGACGCCGCGUGAGCGAAGAAGUAUUUCGGUAUGUAAACUUCUAUCAGCAGGGAAGAUAAUGACGGUACCUGACUAAGAAGCCCCGGCUAACUACGUGCCAGCAGCCGCGGUAAU